CUCCCGCACCAGCCAUCCCCAAACUGCAGCAGCUAGCUAUCGCCAAACCCUAGCUAUCCCCAAAUCGUAUCGACGGGCGACGGCGGCGGCGGCGACGGCGGCGGCGGCGGCGAGGUGGCUAGGGCAACGGCAAGGGCUCACGUGGUGGUGGCGGCGGUGGCUUCGGUUCCCGUGGCGGCUGCUGCUGCUGCGCGAGGUGGUGGCGGCGGCGGUGGCUGCGGUUCCCGUGGCGGCGGCUGCUGCUGCUUGAGGAGGUGGCGGCGGCGGUUGCUUCUGCUGCUUGAGGUUGUGGCGGCGGCUACGGCUGCAGCUGCUGCUUGAGGUGGCGGCGGCGGCUGGUGCAGACUGAGGCGGCGGCUAUGGCUGCUGCUGUUGCUUGAGGCAGCGGCGGCGGCGGCUGGUGCUGAUUGAGGCGGCGGCGGCAGCUACUGCGGCUUGAGGUGGUGGCUGCGGCAGCCACGGCGGCUGCUGCUGCUACUCCUCAAAGCUGUGGCGCCCGCGCGGACGGCUACUGCGGCUCCCGCGGCAGCUCCCGCGGUGGCGGCUACUGCUGCGGCUUGAGGUGGUGGCUGCGACCAAGACAACAGCGAAAGAUGAAGGCUCAAGCAAGCAAAUCGCCUCCCCAAUCUUGGGUGCCUGAAGGGAUGGAUCCUGGUAAAGCAUAUCUGUUGAAAAUCAGGCUCCAUGGGCACCAAAGUAGAGAAAACUUUACAUUUAGAACAGAGGAAGUGAUAUAUAGCGACAGAACAAACUUCAAGGAUUUUAUUGAUCACAUUAGAGAGAAGUACCCAUGGGGGGUGAAUGAAUUUGUAACAAUGAACUAUUUUGAUCCAGUAAACAGAAACUACCCUCAAGUAUGCUCAGACCAGUCAAUGCUAGAAAUGUUUGACAAGAAUAUGACUAGCAAGGAAAUAUCUAUGUUGAUUCAAAUUCAUAAGAACAAUGAGCAAGCUGUAGUUCUGCCACUUGCUGAUUGGCCAACACCUAAAAAGGUAGUUAGUGGGGCAGAACCUAAUGCAGUUAAUAUACAUGAGGUGCCAUGUACUCCAUCUCUUGCAAUGCCAUCUCAGGCUACUAUAUCUCAGCCUAGCAGCAGCACACAACCAGUUGUUGAUAUGUACUUGGAAAAUUUAUUUGAACAAAAUGAACAUGUCGGUGUUGACGAUGAGGAUAUGUAUUCAGAUGAUGAAAUUGUUGUGGCUGUCACUAAUGCUGGGCAAGAGAAAGAGCCUACUGAUGUGCCUAAGGUGGACAGUGAGGAAAGGGAUGAGGUUGAGGUUGAGGUAGAGGAGGGGGGGAGGAGGAGGGGGAGGAGGACGAUGGGGAUGAGGAGUGGGUGGAGGACGCCGCGGAGGAGGAGGAAGGGGAGGAGGAGUGGGUGGGCGAAGAUGCUAUUCCUGUUAAAGAUCCAGAGGUGGCAUAUGAUAGUAAUGAUCCACCGAUGACAGAAAAUAGUGUGUAUGAAAACAUUGUGCAAUUCAGAUUGGCAAUAGCUCAGCAUGCUAUUAAACAUGAAUUCGAGUAUAACAUUGUUAAGACUGACCCAGGGAGGUUCAUUGCCAAGUGUGCUGCUGAGGGAUGUGGGUGGAGAAUUCAUGCCUCAACUAUGCAAGACGGUGUUACAAUGCAGGUGAAGACCAAUAGUGUGCCUCACUCUUGUUCAAGUGCAAGAAGAAGUGAAAAGAUUAAACCUGCAAGUAAGGCUUGGAUAUGUGAAAAGGUUAAGGAUUGGUUGUUAGAGGAUGCAACCGUGGGAGCAAAAGAAUUGCAAAGAAGGAUCCUUGAAACUCACAAAGUUCUGAUUAACUACAAGAGGGUAUAUGCUGGGAAGGAAUUGGCUCUUGAAAAGUUGUAUGGUAAAUGGGAGGACAGUUUUGACAAAUUGUACAGUUACAAGGCAAUAAUUGAAAGAGAAUGCCCUGGAAGCCUUGUUGUAAUUGAUCACCACACAGUGCUGAAUAAGUUGAGAUUCAGAAGACUAUUCUUUACACUAAAACCUUGCAUAGAUGGUUUUCGAGAUGGUUGCAGGCCAUAUGUAGCAAUAGAUAGCACUUUUUUGACCGGCAAGUUCAAGGGACAGCUAGCAACUGCUUGUGCUGUUGAUGGGCAUAACUGGAUGUACCCAGUAGCCUUUGGAGUGAUGGACUCAGAGACCAAUGAAAACUACAAAUGGUUCAUGGAAAGACUUUAGGGAUGCUAUUGGUAAUCCAGAAGGUCUCACAAUUUGUACAGAUGCAGGGAAAGGAGUAGAUACUGCAGUACAUAACAUUUUUCGUGAUGUAGAACAUAGAGAAUGCAUGCUACAUUUGGUGAAUAAUUUCAAAAAGAGGUUUCAUGGAAAGGUGUUUGAUGAUAACCUCUGGCCUGCAGCAUACUCAUAUAAUCCAUAUUUUUUCCAGAAGCACAUUGAGAAAAUGGAUGAAGCAAAGCCAGAGGCUAUGGCUUAUUUAAGGAAAAACCAUGUUAGGCUUUGGACUAGAAGCCAAUUCUCUGGGCAAUGCAAGGUUGAUUAUGUUACAAAUAAUUUGGCUGAAUGUUUCAAUAGCUGGAUCAGGCCACAUAAAGGAUUGCACUUGGUGGAUUUCAUGGACAAGAUUAGGCACAAGUUAAUGGUGAAGUGGAACAGGAGAAGAUCAAUUUCAAAAAAGCUAGAAGGGAAUAUACUACCACACAUUAUGAAUGAAUUGAAUGAAAAGAGCAGGGGUUUGAACCAUGAGGUUACAAGAAGUGAUGAUGCAUUAGCAGAGGUGGAGUGCAAGGGAGGAAGUGGCCACAGGUUUGUUGUCAAUCUUACAGAUAGGACAUGUAGCUGUAGAGAGUGGCAGGUUUCAGGCAAACCAUGCACACAUGCUAUAGCUUUUAUCACAUCCAUCCGAGGCUGCAAACUUGAGAAUUUUGUAGAUGAGUGCUACUCUGUUAGUAGGUUCCAAAUGGCUUAUUCAAAAGUAAUCCCUCCUUUGGUUGACAAAUCUCAAUGGCCCAAUCCUACCCAUGACUUCUUGCAUCCACCGGUUCUAAAAAGGUAGCAGGCAGGCCAAAAAGGACAAGAUAUAGAGGUUGUAGUGAAAAGGGCAACCCAGGAGGAGUUAACAAGGGCAAGCAUUAGUGCCCGUUGUGUAAGGGUUAUGGUCAUCAUUGGCAUAGUUGCAGAGAGGGUGAUCCUGCUGAUUACCAAGCAAUGCUAGCUGAAAGGGGACCUCCAAAAAAAAGGCAAAAGUCUAGUAAUGCACAUGCUGAAACUAGCAUUGUACAUGUUCCUAGUGCAUCUUCUGCUCAAAAUGCAAUAUUGUCUGCAACAAUGACAUAUCCACCAAGCAAAAGUUGUCAAACCGGGAAAAAAGGACAGGACCUCAGUAAUACUUCAUCAGGGUCAGUUAGAUCAAGGUCAGUGACAGGAUCCAACCAACCUGAACCUUUGAGUGUGUUGAUGCCACUAGCAGCGCCUGGAGAGAACUCUAAGGCCAAGGCUAAGACAGACCAAAACUAAAGCCAAGAUAGCUCCUAGGAAGAAUACAAAGGAUAGCGCUGCUACUACGCCUUUGGCACAAGUCAAACAAAAAGGCAACUUCAUUCCUGUGUCUCCUGAUAGUCCAGCCAUGAGUACAAGGAGCAAAAAGAAAUCUCUAAAUUUUAAUUAGGGAUCCUUUUUAAUUAACAUGUGCUCACAUAUUUUGGUACUGUGAUCUCUGGUUGCACGGUACUUAUGUAGUACUCCAGUUAAUCUAGCGUUUUGGUACUAUGGUGCUGAUGCAUUUUAGUCAUGUAUAUGGUGAUGGUACUGUAUGUGGUGAGAUGGCACUUCUAUGGCACUGCAAGACAUGCAUAUGUGAUGGUACUGUAUGUGGCACUUAAUGAUAGUGAUGCAUUUUGGGGUUGUAUGCAAAUCUGUGAUGAGAGAUGAUGCACUGUAUGUGCUGAUUUCAACAUUUAUGUCAUGACCAUGUUAUUUCAGCU